CGCACGCGCGUUACACUGACGGGGCCAGCGAGUUCUUCCUUGUCCGAAAGGUCCGGGUAAUCUUGUGAAACCCCGUCGUGCUGGGGAUAGAGCAUUGCAAUUAUUGCUCUUCAACGAGGAAUCCCUAGUAAGCGCAAGUCAUCAGCUUGCGUUGAUUACGUCCCUGCCCUUUGUACACACCGCCCGUCGCUACUACCGAUUGAAUGGCUCAGUGAGGCUUUCGGACUGGUCCGGAGUGGGGGGCGACCCCCGUUCUGGACCGGAAAGUUAUCCGAACUCGGUCAUUUAGAGGAAGUAAAAGUCGUAACAAGGUCUCCGUUGGUGAACCAGCGGAGGGAUCAUUACCGAGUUUACACUCAUAACCCUUUGUGAACAUUAUAACUUGUUGCUUCGGCGGCUUCUUCGGGAGCCCGCCGGCGUUUCAGUAUCUCUGUUUGUACCCGACGAUACAUCUGAGUGUUCUUAGCGAACUAUAAAAACUUUUAACAACGGAUCUCUUGGUUCUAGCAUCGAUGAAGAACGCAGCGAAACGCGAUAUGUAAUGUGAAUUGCAGAAUUCAGUGAAUCAUCGAAUCUUUGAACGCACAUUGCGCCUUCCAGUAUUCUGGGAGGCAUGCCUGUCCGAACGUCGUUUCAACCCUCAAGCCCUCGUGGUUUGGUGUUGGAGUCCUACA
rnacentral:rRNA from 1 species